GACGAACGCUGGCGGCGUGCUUAACACAUGCAAGUCGAACGGAAAGGCCCUGCUUUUGUGGGGUGCUCGAGUGGCGAACGGGUGAGUAACACGUGAGUAACCUGCCCUUGACUUUGGGAUAACUUCAGGAAACUGGGGCUAAUACCGGAUAGGAGCUCCUGCUGCAUGGUGGGGGUUGGAAAGUUUCGGCGGUUGGGGAUGGACUCGCGGCUUAUCAGCUUGUUGGUGGGGUAGUGGCUUACCAAGGCUUUGACGGGUAGCCGGCCUGAGAGGGUGACCGGACACAUUGGGACUGAGAUGAGGCCCAGACUCCUACGGGAGGCAGCAGUGGGGAAUAUUGCACAAUGGGCGAAAGCCUGAUGCAGCAACGCCGCGUGCGGGAUGACGGCCUUCGGGUUGUAAACCGCUUUCGCCUGUGACGAAGCGUGAGUGACGGUAAUGGGUAAAGAAGCACCGGCUAACUACGUG
rnacentral:rRNA from 1 species